AAGAGCGGGUUCAGGAGAAACGUUCACAUUUGUAACACUCUGAUUGACAUGUACAUUAAGUGUGGCUGCUUAGAGGCUGCAAAAGCUGUUUUCGAUGAAAUGAAGGAACCAACAAUUGUAUCAUGGUCAGCCAUGAUCCAGGGUUUAGCUAUCCAUGGACACGGGGAUGAAGCCUUAGAACUCUUUAACGAGAUGAUCAAAAUGGGAAUGAAGCCUAACGAGGUCACGUUUCUUGGAAUCUUGCAUGCUUGUAGCCAUAUGGGGUUGAUCAAUAAGGGGCGAGAAUUCUUUACUAGCAUGAGUAGAGACUACAACAUUUCUCCUCAAAUCGAGCAUUAUGGUUGUAUGGUUGAU
rnacentral:misc_RNA from 1 species